rnacentral:rRNA from 1 species
UACGUAGGGACCGAGCGUUGUCCGUAAUCAUUGGGCGUAAAGAGCGUGUAGGCGGCUAUUUAAGUCCUGCGUGAAAUCCUGCGGCUCAACCGCAGACGGUCGUGGGAAACUGGAUGGCUAGAGUGCGGGAGAGGAGAGUGGAAUUCCCGGUGUAGCGGUGAAAUGCGCAGAUAUCAGGAAGAACACCAAUGGCGAAAGCAGCUCUCUGGGACGGUACUGACGCUGAGACGCGAAAGCGUGGGGAGCGAACAGG